rnacentral:lncRNA from 1 species
AGCGAGCGCUGUGCUGCUGUUAUGCUGGUCCUAAAGCGUUAACUCCCCCCUCCGUUGGCCAUUGAAGAGAACGCUGCGUGGGCUGCUAGAUCAUUUGAGAGUGCAUUUUCCUCCUCCAAUCCGCUACACAGAGCACACUCCCCAUAUGCCCAAUGGGGAGUAGGGGUGGCUCUAACGAAUUUGAAUGAAGAGGGUAGCUUUCGGCGCCAUUUUCGAGUGAGCUGCGAUUGCUUCAACAGCUGAGAGGAGCGGCUGCAGUGGGUAGGCAAGACGAGCUCUGGAGCUGUCGCAAGACACGGACAUUAUUUUCGGAGGCUCGAAAAAUAUAUACAAAAAUUAUCCCGAAAAAGAACACCGAUGGAUAAAGAAAAGGGAAAGAAGGCCAAGACUACGUCGUAUCAGGACUGGGGGAAACGUUAGAUAGUUAGCCAGCUACUGUAACGUUAGCAUUACUAGCGAUAAGAAAUUGGUGUCUGACUUGGCGUCUGUGUAGAAAUGUAACGUUUAUAAAUGCAUUUACGACAAAUAAGUGGACCUCUCUAAAAAGAACCAAACAGUUUAGAAAAAUAUUUCAGGGUCGAUUGAGUGGAGAAUGACCGGCAUAAUUUAGAUUUUUUUGCGUUUUAGUCAUAUUUUAGGACGUUCCGUUUGAGCGGGAGGUGGAAAAGCGGGAGGCAGUGGAGUGAAGAGCCAGUCGGCACCGCUGUCAACAACAUGCACUGCGAGCUGAAUCUUCAUAUCGUUGGCUUCCUCUUGAAAACGCUGCAAGGAUUUUUCUGUAAUGCUGAGGACACCUUUUCAUGUUUUGAUUUAUUCCUUUUUUUUUCAAAUGUAUUUUUUUUUAGGAAUUUAAAAGUCUUGUUUCACGUUUUUAUCACGUUUCUAGCUAAGUUAACAUUGGUGGAUUCGCCUGAUUGAAAACGUUAUACAACGUUUUAUGGGCUCUGUCAUGGUGUGCUUCCACAACUGCAGUAUCACAGGCAGGCCAGAGAGGCUAUCAUGGUGCCUCCCUCAUAAAACAGGAUACUACUUAACACGUCCUGAUCAUUUUUACUUUUUAACCAGUUCAGAGCAGAAUCCAUGUUUUGUUUUUAUUAUUUUGGGAGUGUGACUGGUAUGUAAAGUGUAUGCCUACUGUUGAUGUCAGAUAAGUGCUUAUCAUUGGAAGCAUGUUUUUAUUUAACUAGGCUAGUCAGUUAAGAACAAAUUCUUAUUUACAAUGACGGCCUACCAAAAGGCCUCCUGCAAGGACGGGGUCUGGGAUUAAAAAUAUAGGACGAAACACACAUCACGACGAGACACCAAUACAUACAUAAAGAAAGAUGCCGAUAGGUAUGCUAUGUACACACUGGCUCACACACAUUAAGUUGCUUGUGUCAUGCAUGCAUCACCUCCUACUUAAAACAAUGUCUCAGGUUGGUGUGCUGAGCAAUUGUAUUGAAGUCCUAAUAUUUUUAUACUGGUGAAGUGAUAAUGCCAUUUGUAUAUCAUUGAGGGUUUUGUAAAGCUUUGCACAAGUUAGUGCAGUUCAUAUUUUGUGUGUGUACUGAACAAAAAUAUAAAUGCAACAACUUCAAAGAUUUUACUAAGUUACAGGCUGUGCCUGGGAGGGCAUAGGCCCAGCCGAUCAGAAUGAGUUUUUCCCCACAAAAGGGGUUUAUUACAGACAGAAAUACUCCUCAGUUUCAUCAGGUGCCUGGUGUCAGACGAUCCCACAGGUGAAGAAGCCGGAUGUGGAGAUCCUGGGCUGGCGCGGUUACACCUUGUCUGCGGUUGUGAGGCCAGUCGGAAGUAAUAACAAAUUCUCUCAAACAACAUUGGAGGUGGCUUAUGGUAGAGAAAUUAACAUUCAAUUUUCUGGCAACAGUUCUGGUGGACAUUCCUGCAGUCAGCAUGCCAAUUGUACGCUCCCUCAACUUGAGACAUCUGUGACAUUUUUGUUUGGCAAAACGGCACAUUUUAGUGGCCUUUUAUUGUCCCCUGCACAAGGUGCACCUGUGUAAUGAUCAUGCUGUUUAAUCAGCUUCUUGAUAUGCCACACCUAUCAGGUGGAUGGAUUAUCUUGGCAAAGGAGAAAUGCUCACUAACAGGGAUGUAAACAAAUUUGUUCACUUUACAUGUUGCCUUUUUUAUAUUUUUGGUCAGUGUAUAUAUUCUACUAAAAAAAGGUUUAUCACAGUAACUACAGCUCAGUCUGUGGACAACGUGUUGCGGUCACUAUAGCUGACAUUCUAUGGCUUUGCUGUGCAAAAUGUGGUGGGAUGGUUUUACUAGAUGUGUAAAUGUGGUAUUUAAGGUAUUAAUGUAGCCUUUUAUUAAAAUAAAUCACUCAUUACAUUAACUAAUGCUGUCUGGUUAAUACUCCACACUAAGUUUGACUUCCGAUCCUAUUGAAAC